rnacentral:rRNA from 1 species
GAGUUUGAUCCUGGCUCAGGAUGAACGCUAGCGACAGGCUUAACACAUGCAAGUCGAGGGGCAGCGGGGGCGAAGCUUGCUUCGCCUGCCGGCGACCGGCGCACGGGUGAGUAACACGUAUGCGACCUGCCCCCCGCAGGGGGAUAACCGGGAGAAAUCCCGACUAAUACCGCGUAACGCCGCGGGGCUGCAUGGCCCCGCGGCCAAAGGAAGCGAUUCCGGCGGGGGAUGGGCAUGCGGCGCAUUAGCUAGUCGGCGGGGUAACGGCCCACCGAGGCGACGAUGCGUAGGGGUUCUGAGAGGAAGGUCCCCCACACUGGUACUGAGACACGGACCAGACUCCUACGGGAGGCAGCAGUGAGGAAUAUUGGUCAAUGGGCGUAAGCCUGAACCAGCCAAGUCGCGUGAGGGAAGACGGUCCUACGGAUUGUAAACCUCUUUUGCCGGGGAGCAACGGGGUCCUUGCGAGGGCCUUAUGAGAGUACCCGGAGAAAAAGCAUCGGCUAACUCCGUGCCAGCAGCCGCGGUAAUACGGAGGAUGCGAGCGUUAUCCGGAUUUAUUGGGUUUAAAGGGUGCGUAGGCGGGCUGUUAAGUCAGCGGUCAAAUGUCGGGGCUCAACCCCGGCCUGCCGUUGAAACUGGCGGC